rnacentral:rRNA from 1 species
UACGAAGGGUGCAAGCGUUACUCGGAAUUACUGGGCGUAAAGCGUGCGUAGGCGGUUUUGUAAGUCUGUCGUGAAAUCCCCGGGCUCAACCUGGGAAUUGCGAUGGAGACUGCAAGGCUAGAAUCUGGCAGAGGGGGGUAGAAUUCCACGUGUGAGCAGUGAAAUGCGUAGAGAUGUGGAGGAACACCGAUGGCGAAGGCAGCCCCCUGGGUCAAGAUUGACGCUCAUGCACGAAAGCGUGGGGAGCAAACAGG